UCCGCGGCCGAACGCAAUGCGGCCGUGGAAUGCGCUGGGCGAGAGAAGCAGGAGGUGCGGGUGGCGGAGGUACAGCAAGAGCUCCGGGCUCUCGUGGAGAAACACGAGAGUUUGGAGCGUGACUCGAAGACUCGAGAGUCCGAGCUUGCGUCGGCUCUUGAGAGUGCCAAAGCCGCUAAGGCCGAAGCCCACAAGGCCCUCCAGGAAAUUGAGGCAUUGAAGAAGAUAGCGACGGGAGCGUUCGCAGAUCUGCCCCGUAGCGUAUCUGAUGCUGCUGCUUUCUACAGAGCCGAGGAGGGGAGCUCGACCGAGAAGGUGUUCUGGUCUCAGUAUGCUGAGGCGGGACAUCCGGUGCCCCUUAGCGACCAGCUGAAGCAGCUGGUCGAGCUCCACAAGGUGGCCGAACAGGCCAUGAAGGGCCUCAUAGUUCGGCUGUGGCCCAAAGAGGCCAUGCCUGGGAGCUACUUCGGCCUGGUGUGGCGGCUGGUGGACGCUUGUCCAUGGGUUGAGGUCAUCAAGCACUCCACCUGCAUUGAAGGUGCCCGUCGGGCCCUUGCCCGUGCUAAGGUGCACUGGGGCAAGAUGGACGCUGAGAAGCUUGUGACGGACGCGCCACCGCCGGGCAAGGAGUAUCGCACGCCCGAGAUGUAUUAUAAGGGUGUCCUGAAGGGUGCCCGCAUUAUUGCGGAUGAGUGCUCCAAAGAUGUAAUAUUUGAGUAG
rnacentral:rRNA from 1 species